rnacentral:rRNA from 1 species
GACAGAGGUGCCGAGCGUUAGGCGGAAUCACUGGGCUUAAAGCGUGUGUAGGCGGGUCCGGAAGUAACUUGUGAAAUCCCAUGGCUCAACCAUGGAACUGCUUGGUAUACUGCGGAUCUUGAGCCACCUAGGGGCAAGUGGAACAAACGGUGGAGCGGUGAAAUGCGUAGAUAUCGUUUGGAACGCCAAUGGUGAAAACAACUUGCUGGGGGUGUGCUGACGCUGAGACACGAAAGCCAGGGGAGCAAACGGG